rnacentral:rRNA from 1 species
GACGUAGGGCGCGAGCGUUGUCCGGAUUUAUUGGGCGUAAAGAGCUCGUAGGCGGCUUGUCGCGUCGACUGUGAAAUCCCGCGGCUCAACUGCGGGUCUGCAGUCGAUACGGGCAGGCUAGAGUUCGGUAGGGGAGACUGGAAUUCCUGGUGUAGCGGUGAAAUGCGCAGAUAUCAGGAGGAACACCGAUGGCGAAGGCAGGUCUCUGGGCAUUAACUGACGCUGAGGAGCGAAAGCAUGGGGAGCGAACAGG